GCCGGCUUAGCUCAGCUGGUAGAGCACCCGCCUUGUAAGCGGAAGGUCGUCCGUUCGACUCGGACAGCCGGCACCA
rnacentral:tRNA from 1 species